AAAAAUUUAGUUAAAUCAUAACAUUGGCUUGUCAGGCCGAAAUUAUUUUAUUAAAUAAUUUUUA
rnacentral:tRNA from 1 species